rnacentral:rRNA from 1 species
UUUAAAUUGAGAGUUUGAUCCUGGCUCAGGACGAACGCUGGCGGCGUGCCUAACACAUGCAAGUCGAGCGAUGAAACUUCCUUCGGGGAGUGGAUUAGCGGCGGACGGGUGAGUAACACGUGGGUAACCUGCCUCAAAGAGGGGGAUAGCCUCCCGAAAGGGAGAUUAAUACCGCAUAACAUUAUUUUAUGGCAUCAUAGAAUAAUCAAAGGAGCAAUCCGCUUUGAGAUGGACCCGCGGCGCAUUAGCUAGUUGGUGAGGUAAGGGCUCACCAAGGCGACGAUGCGUAGCCGACCUGAGAGGGUGAUCGGCCACAUUGGAACUGAGACACGGUCCAGACUCCUACGGGAGGCAGCAGUGGGGAAUAUUGCGCAAUGGGGGAAACCCUGACGCAGCAACGCCGCGUGAGUGAUGAAGGUUUUCGGAGCGUAAAACUCUGUCUUUAGGGACGAUAAUGACGGUACCUAAGGAGGAAGCCACGGCUAACUACGUGCCAGCAGCCGCGGUAAU